rnacentral:misc_RNA from 1 species
UAAUAAGUGUUUUAUGGCACUUUUUAAAUCCAUAUCCACCUUGUGUGCAAUGUCAGUCGAUCUUCUUCAUGGAGAUCGACCAAACAUCAACCUUUAUUUUUAACUCUUUGUCUGAAAGAUAUUAUGAAUAAACAAUUCAAAAUA